rnacentral:tRNA from 1 species
GGCUAUAGCUCAGUGGUAGAGUGCUUGCCUAGCAUGUGUGAGGCACUGGGUUUGAUUCUCAGCACCA